CUGACAUACUCAUAUGCCUUGGCUGAAUAGAACUGCAGGCACGAAAUCAAGCUGUACAUCGGAGAGCGAGCCACGGAGCAUGUCACUGCACUGUGCUGACACAAGAGAUUUGUCCCGAAGGUCACUCAUUAUGCCUUCCACAAGCCUCAAGUGUUACGUUGGCCUUUCGCUUGAGUGUGCGUGGACUGUCUCGUACCACAUAGCUGUGGUCUGCAGCAGGGUCAUGUGGUCGUGUAGCCGGUUGUGAUGACGUCCCUGGCUGUGCAACCUCGUUGACUUCCUCCGACUCCACAUUGCAUCUAAUUGGGGGGACCCUCUUUGGUUGCACGGUCUGUGUGAAAAUGU